rnacentral:lncRNA from 1 species
CAGACUACUUAUGACAAAGUAGAAAUUAGAAUAGAAAGUCCAUUUUGAAUGUUAAAUUAUAGGCUGCUUAAUACAGGUGGGCCUGUAAGGCAGGUUCAGAUGUACAUGUAUGUAAAUACUAAUACUUUUAAUAUACCAAAAUAUAUAUUCAAAACUAAAUACAAAUUUUAUUGAAGCAAUUGUUGCUUAAAUUGCAAAAAAUGUGUUUGUUUUCUCAUUAAAAAAGGAUGAAUUAAUUGGUAGCUUACGUUAUUAGAAAGAUCCACCCUACGGUUACAAAUGAUAGCUUAAUUUCAUUUAGAAUGAUACAUAGCCUUUGUAACCUAUACGUAGGCUGUUUGCUUUAACAUGAAGUUAAAACAAAGUUGGUUUUUACAGGGUUAAAGCAAUAUUGAGGUAACUUGUUUGGGAACCAUUGUAAGUUAAAAUAGUUUGGCUUUUUGCUGGAUGAUUGUCAUUUUUGCAGUACUGACCCCAAGUAAGGUGACAGUUAAAUAAAUGGACAGCGUGUAUUUAGGCAAAAUAAAUUUUAUGUUCAGUUUCUCGUGCUAAAAUUUGAAAGAAGUAUGUGAACAAGAAACAGAAAAUUUCAGCUCAUGAAUUUUAUUAAUUAUACAUUGUUAAUAUAUUAAAUUUUAUUAAGAUUUAUAGAAAGAAAUUAAAUUUAUGUCAUAAUUUGAAAGGUCUUUUGCUAGGGUAUUUAUGAACUCAAUUUAUAAGGGGAUGUAAACCAAUUAACUUAAAGAACUUGUUGUCAUGAGGUGCGUAAACCAAAUAUGAGUAAUACUUUUCUAGAAACUAAAAAGUAAGAGUAUUGUACCUUGUUACUCACAGUAACAAAUUCUGUCAGGAGUGUUCAAUGUGGAAACAUUCUCAUCUUGUUUUGUCUCAAUACAAUAUUGGAUUUAUAACAAGAUGGAUUUUACUUUUUUCGCUUGCAUUUUCGAACAUCUUGUGAUAUAACGGAAUUUUGAUCUACUUUCUAACUUUGCUAUUUCUCCAUGCCAGUUUUGGUGGUGCAUUUGGUUUAUUGCAAGUACGUCAGAAGAAGAUUUAAAGAAAUUAGAAAGAUCGAAAUUAAAUGAAUUAUUUCAUUAUACAAAAAUCAUACAUCUGGACUGACACAAUUUAUAGACACAUCGGAGACAAUUAAACAGAAGUGAAGAACUUAUGAAUAAUGAUUUAAAAUGUGGACUAAAACGGGGAACUAUUCUAAGAAACGUAAGCAGAAUGGAAUAGAAAUGACAAGUCAGAAAUAAACAGAAAUUUAGACUGAAACGAAAAACGUACUAAGUGAUAAAACAGAACGAAACAAAAACUGACGAUUAGAAAAUAAAAAGAAAUCUGGACAGAAAUAAAAGCUAUACCAAGAUAUUAACACAAAACGGAACAAAAAUGACGAGUCGGAUGAAGUGUUACAGUUACAUAUACAGACAGACACAGACGCCGUG